UACGUAGGGGGCUAGCGUUGUCCGGAUUUAUUGGGCGUAAAGAGCGUGUAGGCGGCCAGGUAGGUCCGGUGUGAAAACUCGAGGCUUAACCUCGAGAUGUCAUCGGAAACCAUCUGGCUAGAGUCCGGAAGAGGAAAGUGGAACUCCUGGUGUAGCGGUGAAAUGCGCAGAUAUCAGGAAGAACACCAAUGGCGAAAGCAGCUUUCUGGGACGGUACUGACGCUGAGGAGCGAAAGCGUGGGGAGCAAACAGG
rnacentral:rRNA from 1 species